CCUUAACCUCUGAAACCUCAUUGCAACCCUAGAUGGACAAGUACAUCCAAUUCCCCUUCCUGCGUUGCUCGCUUAACAAUAUUACAAAUACAUCUCCUGUCUCUGUGAGCAGUAGCUUUGGGAAGACAUAUCACAAGACCACCAUUGUCCAUCUCCACACCUCUUAUGAUAGAAUCCCCCAACAACAACUGUUUUCUAUUAGGCCUCACCAUAGUCUACAAGCCUGUCUCCAUAACACCACUACCCUCAGUGCCUGAGCCUAAGCCUGAC